rnacentral:tRNA from 1 species
GGGCCUGUAGCUCAGCUGGAUAGAGCGCAUCAUUUGCAAUGAUGAGGUCAGCGGUUCGAUCCCGCUCAGGUCCA